AUAUAUAUAUAUAUAUAUGGGAUAAUUCCUUAUAUAUCCCUGAAAAGUUUCCGACUUUCUGAUUUAUUCCUCUUAGAAGGCUAAUAUUGAAAAUACCCUUUUUACGUUCCAAUCUAUUUCAAAUUUACCUCUAGAGUUAAAAUCUGUUAAUGAACUCGGUUAUCUGUAUAAAAUUAUUAUUUUGCCCUUUCAAAUAUACCCUUCCACCAUCACCGACUUUUCUUAUUUGCCCUUAAAGUCAGGGGCACAAAAAAUAUUUUGACUUUUGGUCUUUUCAAAUAUACCCCAUCUACCGUCACCAACAUUUCUUAUUUGCCCUUAAGUUAAGGGCAAAAUUGGUAUUUUAAUUUUUUUUUAACUGUGGUAGAUAUUUUGCAAUAACGGUGGAACAUAUGAGUGGUAUUUUAGAAAGAAAAAAAAAAGUAGAGAUAAAUCGGAUAUUUUCAAAUGUAUUAAGAGUAUAUAGACAAUUAUCCCUAAAUAUAUAUAUAUAUAUAUAGAGUUGAGCUAUGAUACUUUUACAAGUAUCACCAUCAUUGUGCUAUUAGGUUUUAAGCCAUUGGAUCUACUUUUUGAUUAUUAAUAGCCCUUGGAUUAAACACUAUUCCACCUACCACCACCUACCACCAUCAUCUCAACCUCACAUCUCUUCAUUCAAGGACUAAAAACACACAAAGAUCACUUGGGUGAUACUUUUACAAGUAUUCUAGCUCUACUAUAUAUAUAUAUAUAUAUAUAUAUAUAUAUAUAUAUAUACUAUAUAUAUAUAAUUUAAUUUAAAUCAAAUUUCAAAUUCAAAUUCUGAAUUUACUUUGAUUUAAAAGUUCCAGUUAUUAUAAUAUAUGUAUAUAUAUAUUUUCUAAAGUGGAACUUCUGAAAAAGCGCCUCAACGGAAUCACAUUGAUGGGUCAUUUCGGUAAGUCAUCUUAUUCACCUUGCACUUAAAUCUUUAGGGCAUAUUUAGUUUAUGAUUAAAAUAAAAAUAAAAAAUAAAAUUGAAUUGUUUUGGAAUGAAAAAUGGAAUGACGAACCAUAAAAAAAUAUCUGGCUCAUUAUUAUUAGAAUGAAAAUCAAAAUGAGAAUUUAAAAUUUUGAGAGAAGGUUUUAACUAAGAGCAAGGAGAACAAUGAAGGGAGAGGUGCUCGUGAGAAAGAAGUUUUAGUAGUUUAUUUUGGAAUGGACCGAUCCGAGAUUCAAACCGAAUCAUUCCAAAUUAAUCCAGAGUGGAAUAAAAAUCAAAAUUCGAUUUCUGUAAAGCAAACAAUAAAUAUUAUUUCAAUUUUAUAGUCUAAAAUAGGUGAACUAAACAGACUCCUUAAAGUUUCAUUCUAAUCUAAAGAUUUCUCGUCCGAAUCUCAAAACCGUAUCGGAUACUAAAUUUAGAAGGGGCCCAAAUAAGACACUGUUCGUUCAAAUUCCUUCCAUUUUCCCCCUAAUUCAGCUGUACUGGAUCCCCUCUCUCUUCUCUUUAAUUUCACUCUCUCCCGUGUAGACAAAAUUAAGCAAAUAAACUGCAUUGCUAUUAUAAUUUAAUUUAUUUGAUUAAAUUCUGAAAGUUAAUAUUUAUUAUUCAUUUGCUUUCUGGGUUCCGAUUCAAAUAUUAAAUUUCGAGGCUUACGUAUUCUUAUUCGGAUUUAAAUUUAGGCUUAGUUUGGUAUUGAGGCGGAUCUAAUGCUAUUAGAUAGAAUGGAGUUGAGACAAAGCAUAUAGGAAUAUGCUUCUGCGUUUUCCGAUGGAACAGCAAAAAAUAUAUUGUAACCGACUAACCGCAAUAUGCGGAACGCAAUAUUACGUACGGAAACAAACCAGGUAUUUUUCUAUCGUCGUUUCUCACCGCACGUAACACAAUCUCCCCGUAAUCUCAAACGAAGCCGUAGUUUAUAAUUUUGGUUAGGUUU
rnacentral:lncRNA from 1 species